UUGUCAGGUAGGCUAAUCCUUCUUGUUCCUCCUUUUGGAGGGCAGGAUAGAACAUGAUGAUUGGAGCUCGCAUGACUCGUGAUUAAUGGACUUGCUACACCCAGAUUGUUCCUGUCUGAU
ensembl:snoRNA U8 U8 small nucleolar RNA